CAUGUUUGCAACUUCAGGCUUACCUGUGCCACAUUUAAACAACUGAUGAAAGAUUUUUGAUCUCACUUCUUUGGUUUUGAGUACAUUUAAUAGUUGGAUCAGUUUGACUUAAUUACAACUAAGAAACCAAAAAUUCAGUUCACUCAGAUUUUUCUGUGUAUGUGAAACCAGAACAUCCAUUUUGCCACUAUCUUAAAGAACUAUGACUUUGUUUUUCUAAAAAUGAUACAAGCUCAUUAAUAAAGUACCAUAGCAGUACAGAAGAUACAAAGAUGAAAAUAGCAAAUAGCGAACAUGCUGACCAGCAUAAAUAUUGGAGAAUAUCUCCAAAUCUAUAAGAGUAAAAGGACAUAAUUAUAUGCUAUGUCCAUACUGUCUAUUUAAUUAAUACAAGAAAAACAAGUGAAAUUGAGGCGAACCUUCAGUGUUUUGUUUGUUUAACUACCCAAGAGUAGUUCUUUAAGCUACCUCUAACUUUGAGAGAAAAAUUGAGGUUGGCAACAUCUUCAGCCAGACUUCUGGUGUUACAGAAGAUGAACUCCGGCUGCUCAGGCUGUUUCUUGCUGCCUUCCCCAAGGGGAAACAUGUCCUUCUGUCCUUUUGUUCACAAAAGCCCUCUCUCUAUUGCCAGGGAUGGAAAGUAAAGACUUUUGUUAGAAGGACAACUGGCAAUGAGCAGCGCACAGCUGUUCCAGAUGAAGUCAGGGCCGAAAUAAUGCAGGUUCUGGGUGUGUCUGCAUGAUGGUAAUAGAAGCUCUUGCAUGAUUUAUGAUGGAGAGAGUUAUUUGUGUUGGUUUCAGCUCCAUUGAUUUAUGAAAUAUUAAUACACCGACACAACCCAGCACACUGGAGUCGCUGUGAACUCGGGAAUAGCCCCCGGCAGGCCCCUCUUUCUGUCUAGUGGUGCCAGGGUGCUCACUCUGAGCCCAACCCUCUGUGUGCUUCCCCACCCCCUCACAUCUUUCCUUCUCUCCCAGCCAGAGUCCUGCCUUCACUCCACCCAUGUGUCGCCGACAGCCUCGCCUCAUGCUGUCAUUUGAGAGCUCCCUUGUUUUCCCUACAGGUAUCUGAGUGUGUCUUCCCUCGUGUACCAACCAGAGAAAUGCUCCUUCAGCCAUUGAAGCUCUUCUUCUCAAGGACCAGCACUUUGCUGGCCCUCUCCUUUGUCAUCCUUUCUUGAGUCACUUGAUUAGCACUUGAGUACACUUCCCUCCCUUGCCUUAAGUCCCUCUGCCCCAUGACCCACCUUCCCCCAGCAGCUUGUCCUCUCUGCUUCUCUUUGCAGCUCAUCUUCUCCAAAGCUGUUUGUGCUUUCUCCACACUCUCACCUCUUGUUCACACUUGACACUACUGACGUCUGCCUCUACUCUUGCACUUGAUCCAGACUGUCCCAAUGGCAGUCACCAAAGACCACCUGUGCUGCUAAAUCCAGUGGACAGUCUUCAGAUCUCAUCAUACUCAACCCACCAGUCUCCAGCACAGGGCCUUUUUACAGCUUUCUUUCCUUGGACUCUAUUAACACCACAGUUCUGGGGAGUUUCUGCCUUUUCUGCCUCUUGAAAUUACUUCAUCCUGGUCUCUUCUGAAGGUUUUAACAUCCUCGUCUUCAGGCUUAGUCCCUGGUCCUCUUUUCUUUGUUACCUUCUUGGAGAAGUGCCUUCCACACCCGGAGCUCCUCUUCAUUUCAUGACAUCUGUAUGUGGACAGCUCACAUUUGUAUCUCCUGUCGGUCCCAUCUUUAGGGCUCCAGGUCUCACUUCCAGUGGCUUACUUGAUAUCUUAGAGGACUCCACAGGCACCUCCUACCAAAUGUACAAAAAAGGAGGUGUGGGAGCAACUCAUGCAGUUGUCUAGGUAGAGUAGAAAAUGAAAUAGCAGGGAAGCCAGUGUGGCAAGACGGGGAUCUGGGGCACCUUGUGGAAGAUCAGGGCUAAGUAACAGGGACUGGAGCCUGUAAGGCCUCAUAGGCCAUGACAAGAACAUGGCUCAGGUAGGAAGCCUUGGCUUAGUUCUAAGCAAAAGGAUAGCAUGAUGUAACUGAAUUUAUGUCUAAGCAAAACUACCUUGUGCUUGGGGAAAAAAAAGAUUACAUGGUGGCAAGUUCAGAAACAAGUAGCCCAGUGGGGGAAUGGUUGCAGUGCUCCAUGCAAAACAUGAUGGUGACCUGACCUUUGUAGUAACAGUGGGAAGUGUUUGGAUUUGGGAUAUAUUUUUAAGGUAGAGCCAGCUGGAUUUGUCAGAAGGUCGUAUGCAAGGUAAGUGAGAAAGACUCGGUUGAUCGUAAGAUGUUUGGUCUAAGCAAGUAGAUGAAAUUGCUAGUAAGAUGGAUAGAAGUGUUUGGGACAGGUUGGCAUUGGGCAUUAAGCUUGAAAUGCCUUCAGACAUUGAGUAGAGAGUGGCAAUUGGAUAUACAAGUUGAAGUUUGAAGUAGAGGCUUGAGCUAAAGAUAUAUUUUUGAGUCAAUAUUCUUAGAUUUGAAGAGUUCUUUUUAAAUCAUAGAUUUGUCUUCUGCUGAGUUACAUUGAUGUCUUGUGAAAAUAUGUUAAGCCAUCCUUGCAUUCCCAAGUAAAGCCUUAUUUGAUUACAGUGUAUUUUUCUGUACUGUUAGAUUUAAUUAGCUGAUAUUUUAAUUUGAAUUUUUGUACCCAUAUGUAUAAUUUAAAUAGGACUAUAAUUUUUUGUUAUUUUAUAUGUAAGGUAGGAGUCAGUGUUAUGGUAGCUUCAAUAAAUGACUGAGCAGUUUUUCCACUUUUGCUUUAUGGAGCCAUUAGACAGUCUGGGUGUGAUUGUUUCUCCAAAGCUGGGCAGGACUUGUCUCUCAGAUUCUCUAGGCUUGGGGCCUUCGGGUUGGGCAUAGUCUCUGAUUAUCUCUCCAGUAUUGUUUCCCCCUUUUAUGUUGUUUUUGUCUUUUCCAUUUUUAUGAUAAUCUAUUAUUUUGCCUCACAUAUUUCUUAAUCAUAUUUUUUCAUUAAUUCCUUUUUUUUCUACUUGUUUCAUUGAAUUGUGUUCUUACUCUUUUCAGCUUCUUACAUUUAGCUUAUUGGUUUUAUUUCUUAUUUUGCAAUAAAUAUCUUAGACAUAAACAGUUUCAGAGGCACCCUUUUCAUUGUUCAGUUCUAGGUAAUUUUGUUCAGUCUCUUCUAAUCAGCAGUUCACUUCUCUCCUCUCUGAAGUUUCAUUUGGGAGAGAAGUCUGCAGACUGUGCUUGUUUGCCUCCUUGCUGAUAUCUUGAAGAGUCCCCAAAUUCUAAUAGAUAGUUAUUUGUGUCCAGUGCUCUCCCAAGACUGUAAGCAUGUACAUAAUGGACCAUGUCUGAACUGUUGCUGAUUGCUCUAUCCCUGGGACCUGGCCCCAUGCUUAGGAUUUACCCAUUUGGAUAGAAUAUUAUAUUCUCUAAAAUUUGUCUUUAAUAAGUAUAAUAGGCUCUGAAGUACAGCUUCUAGGUUUCUGAAUUCCAGCUAGAGUUCUGUGUCCAUUUAGUUUUAGUUAAACUUUUGUCUGGAGACAGCAUCCAAGCAGCCUGAGAGCACAUUGUGCCCUUCCCUGCCCACGAGCCCGCCCCACCAACAUGUGGGAUGAACCCGUUUGACUGAAAACAGGUUCAGUUGGGCUGGAGGUGCCUUGUAUAUAUUCAGGGUAAUUCACAUGAAAAAUGCUAUUUGAAAAGCGGUUUUUUAAGUUCUCCCCAAGAGCAUAUAUCCUAAAACAGUGGAUACUUCUUUGUGUACAAGUUUAACACAUUCAGAAUUCACCUAGGAAAUGGGCUUUGAGAACAUAUUGCUUAGUAAAACAACUAAUCUAGAAGGUUCCUGCAUAUUCCAGAAUCCCUAGAUCCUCAGAUUCCAUAAUUCCAAUCUGCAGCCUGGUUUAUUGAGAGAUCCUAGUAAGAUGUAUUACACUGAAAGAAAGGAGACACAAAUCACUAAUGUUCACGGGUGGUUGAAAAGGCAGGUGAGGCUUGCUUCUGGCCCCACCAUGGCGCUUGUCACAUGGUGGUCUUCUGUGAAAGCCUGUGGAGUCCUGACCAUAUCUGGUGACUGGAAGCUGCUGCCAGGUGCUUCUGUGCUUGCUUCGUUCUAAGGGAAAAGCACACCUUUCCAGGUGAAGCAAACUAAAUGAAAGCCAUUCAGAAUGUUUAGCCCAAUUUCAGAUAGACAUUUGUAACCAUUUCUGUCUUAGGACACAGUAGGCCAAAAAGUCAGACAGUUUUAUCUGGGGUAAAAAUGGGUUUUAAAUGAAUCUGACUAAAUUACCUGGCAUAUUGUUCUCAUGGCAUCUGGAACAGUUAUUAGAAAAUACAGGGUUUUACAGAAGGAACAAAACAGUAUUAGACUCAUAGACACAGAGAAGUGACUAGUGGUUACCAAGGGGGAGGGGUGAGGGGGACUGUUGAACCACUGUGAUGUACAUUUAUGAUAAAGAAAUAAAAUUAAGAUAUAAUUUAGAAAAUAAAAUAUUUAACCCUGAAAGAAAUCUCUCUUCCUCCCUGAGAAGCAGAUUUCUCUGCUGAAGAAAAUAAUCACAAUUCAAGUAAAAUUUAAACUUUUCAGUCUAAAUGUUCUGAUGACCAGAAUAUAAGAUUGUUAAUAUCGGAGAAGGGCGGAGCCAGGAUGGCGGCUUGAGUAGAGCAGCGGAAAUUUCCCAAAGCCACAUAUAUUUUUGAAAAUACAACAAAGACAACUCUUCCUAAAAGAGAGACCAGAAGAUACAGGACAACAGCCAGACUACAUCUACACCUGGAGAACCCAGCGCCUCAUGAAGAUACAAGCCGCGGCCCAGCAGGACCCGAGCGCCUCUCACCCCACCUCCCGGCGGAAGGAGAGGAGUCGGAGCAGGGAGGGAGAGGGAGCCCAGGACUGCUAAACACCCAGCCCCAGCCAUCUGCACCAGAGCGCAGACAUAGUGCAUGCGUGGGGUGCUGGAAACUAGGGAAACAGGACAGUAAGACCUGUGAGUGGGUCCCCGCAGCCAGCGCCACUGGGACAAAAAAAAGAGAGUGCUUUUUGAAAGUCUUAAAGGGACAGGGACCCCACAGCUGGAAGGAAGCGUUCCAGGACACUUAGCCCAGCAGCUGGGAAUCCCAAGGAACACCGGGCGCUAUAACCCCCUGGGCAGCAACGCAGCUCGGAGGCUCCUCAUGGCGAUGAACAGCCUCCUGCCUGUCUCCCCUCUGAUGCAGCUGCGCCAUAUUGGAGCAGCAGACUGAGGCCAGCCAUGCCCAUAGCAACCAUGGAGCUUAACGCCACAGCAACCGCAGAGCUUAACUCCACAGCGGCCAGGCAAAAAUCAGAGGCUCCGUAUGUGCGCAGCUGCCAAAGCACAAGUCGCUAGAGGUCACUGUUCUCCCAGGAUAGGAAGGCCACAAACCAGCAAGAAGGGACGUUCUCCCAGCCGACACACAGCGGCAGCCCCGCACAACUACCUCUAUCACCAUGAAAAGGCAAAAGAAUUUGAUACAGACCAAAAUCACAGAGUCAACCACUGAGAAGGAAAUAGACCUAACCAAUCUUCCUGAAAAAGAUUUCAAAAUAAAGGUCAUUACCAUGCUGACGGAGCUGCAGAGAAAUAUACAAGAACUAAGAGAUAACAUCUGGAGGGAGAUUACAGAAAUGAAACAAUCUAUGGAAGGAUUUAUAAGAAGAAUGAAUAAGAUGCAAGAGGCCAUUGAUGGAAUAGAAACCAGAGAACAGGAACGCAUAAAGGCUGAUGCAGAGAGAGAUAAAAGGAUCUCAAGGAAUGAAUCAAUAUUAAAAGAACUGUGCGACCAAUCCAAAAAGAAUAAUAUCCGCAUUAUAGGGGUACCAGAAGAAGAAGAGAGAAAAAGGGAUAGAAAGUGUCUUUGAAGAAAUAAUGGCUGAAAACUUCCCCAAACUGGGGGAGGAAAUAAUCAGGCCACAGAAGUACACAGAACUCCCAACAGAAGGGACCCAAGGAGGACAACACCAAGACACAUAAUAAUUAAAAUAGCAAAGAUCAAGGACAAGGACAGAGUGUUAAAGGCAGGUAGAGAGAGGAAAAAGGUCAUCUACAAAGGAAAACCCAUCAGGCUAUCAUCAGACUUCUCAACAGAAACUUUACAGGCCAGAAGAGAAUGGCAUGAUAUGUUUAAUGCAAUGAAACCAAAGGGCCUUGAACCAAGAAUACUGUAUCCAGCACAAAUAUCAUUUAAAUAUGAAGGAGGGAUUAAACAAUUCCCAGACAAACAAAAGUUGAGGGAAUUUGCCUCCCACAAACCACCUCUACAGGGUAUUUUAGAGGGACUGCUCUAGACUGGAGCACUCCAAAGUCUAAAUAGAUGUCACCAGAGAAAAUAAAAUCACAGCAAAGAAAGCAGACCAACCAAAUACUAACUAAAGGCAAAAAUAAAAUCAACUACCUACAAAAGCAGUUAAAGGAAACACAAAAGAGCACAGAAUAAAACAACCAACAUAUAAAGAAUGCAGAAGGGGAAUAAGAAGGGAGAGAAGUAAAAAAUCACCAGACAGUGUUUAAAAUAGCUCAAUAAGUGAGUUAAUUUAGACAGUAAGAUCCUAAAGAAGCUAACCGUGAACCUUUGGUAACCACAAAUCUAAAGCCUGCAAUGGCAAUAAGUAUAUAUCUUUCAAUAAUCACCCUAAAUGUAAAUGGACUGAAUGCACCAAUCAAAAGACACAGAGUAACAGAAUGGAUAAAAAAGCAAGAUCCGUCUAUAUGCUGCUUACAAGAGACUCACCUCAAACCCAAAGACAUGCACAGACUAAAAGUCAAGGGAUGAAAAAACAUAGUUCACACAAACAACAGGGAGAAAAAAGCAGGUGUUGCAGUACUAGUAUCAGACAAAAUAGACUUCAAAACAAAGAAAGUAACAAGAGAUAAAGAAGGACAUUACAUAAUGAUAAAGGGCUCAGUCCAACAAGAGGAUAUAACCAUUCUAAAUAUAUAUGCACCCAACACAG